UGCCAACAGAGACUGCAGCCAGAGCACCCACACCAGGGAGCAGAUUCUGAAGCUUCUGUUGCUGGAGCAGUUCCUGACCAUCCUGCCUAAGAAGCCCCAGGCCUCAGUGAGAGAGCAUCAUCCAGAAAGCGGAAAAGAGGCUGUGACCUGCUUGGCCAUGUAGAAGAGAAAGACUGAUGGAUCAAGACAGCAGAUCAGAAUCUAAGGUUGAAGAUAUGGAGACUAAGAACAACAACAACAACAACAACAACAACAACAACAAGUGAAAUAGCCUUAAAGCAAGAAACACCUGAAUAAGUGAAACCCCCUAAAGCAAUCCUAUGCAGACCUCGAAUCAAAGUUUUUCAGUCCUAAAUGAGACAGAAGCAGUGAAUGGGCAAACCCACAAGGGAAAAAAGGUUCACGUGACCUCCAGAUCCACCCGAGGAUGCAUUUCCUUGCAAGGGAAAGACCAUAAGAGUGCGCCAAGGGGAAGUCGGCGUAGGAGCAGCACUCCAACCAGACCCAGCACCUGCGUGGGCCUAGGGACUUCGGCCACUCCCCCAGCAAGCACUUAGCACCACCGCUGUGCGCAUGCCUCCGGCAGUUAACCGUCUUCUUCCUCAGCGUCUAUCUCGUACUCCACGCAGGCCCUACGCAAGCAAACGCUGCCGCAAGCGCUUCCUAAGGAGCUCAACCCGCUUGCAGCACCCGCAGGUACACACACAGGUGAGAGGCCUGAUCACUGCAGCGGCUGCCACGAAACUUUCAGCCAGAGUUCCUGCCACAUCCCGCACCAGCGGGUCCACAUGGGCGAGAGGCCCUAUCAGUGUGUAUGUGGCAAUGCGUUUGGGCAGAUCUCAACACUUCUUG
rnacentral:lncRNA from 1 species